rnacentral:rRNA from 1 species
UACGUAGGGUGCGAGCGUUAUCCGGAAUCAUUGGGUUUAAAGGGUCCGUAGGCGGUUUUAUAAGUCAGUGGUGAAAUCCGGCAGCUUAACUGUCGAACUGCCAUUGAUACUGUAGAACUUGAAUUAUUGUGAAGUAACUAGAAUAUGUAGUGUAGCGGUGAAAUGCUUAGAUAUUACAUGGAAUACCAAUUGCGAAGGCAGGUUACUAACAAUACAUUGACGCUGAUGGACGAAAGCGUGGGGAGCGGACAGG